rnacentral:rRNA from 1 species
GAGCGAGAAAGCCCCUUCGGGGGUUAGUAAAGCGGCGGACGGGUGAGUAACACGUGAGCGAUCUACCCAAAGGUGGGGGACAACUCAGGGAAACUUGAGCUAAUACCGCGUACAGCGCCGGCUUGGAAGCCUGGCGUGAAAGCUGGCCUCUACUUGUAAGCUAGCGCCUUUGGAUGAGCUCGCGGCCUAUCAGCUCGUUGGUGGGGUAAUGGCCUACCAAGGCGAUGACGGGUAGCUGGCGUGAGAGCGCGACCAGCCACACUGGGACUGAGACACGGCCCAGACUCCUACGGGAGGCAGCAGUGGGGAAUAUUGCGCAAUGGGCGAAAGCCUGACGCAGCGACGCCGCGUGGGGGAGGAGGGCCUCAGGGUUGUAAACCCCUGUCAGGUGGGACGAAACCCGUAGUGUCUAAUAGGCAUUACGAUUGACGGUACCACCAGAGGAAGCUCCGGCUAACUCCGUGCCAGCAGCCGCGGUAAUACGGGGGGAGCAAGCGUUGUUCGGAAUUACUGGGCGUAAAGGGCGCGUAGGCGGCCAAGUCAGUCGCAUGUGAAAGGCCGGGGCUCAACCCCGAGCACUGCAUGCGAUACUGCUUGGCUCGAGAGAGGUAGGGGCGAGUGGAAUUCCCGGUGUAGCGGUGGAAUGCGUAGAUAUCGGGAG